GUAGGUGAACCUGCGGAAGGAUCAUUCACAAAAAUCCGUUCAAGGGAAUCUCGAGUAGUCGUUGAACCAUGCACACAUUUAUUUGUGUCUGCUAAACGACUCUCAAGGAUGAACUUUUACGACCACUUAAUUGUGGACCUAUGUGCAAAGUAAAUAACAAUUUACUCAAUUUUAUAUCUUGACUGAAACUUUUUCAUAUUUUUGAUUGAACUUUAGAAACAAAUGUAUGUUUGUUUUCAAUUAGUAAAUCAGAUUUGAAUUUUUAUACAACUUUUAACAAUGGAUCUCUUGGCUCUC
rnacentral:misc_RNA from 1 species